rnacentral:misc_RNA from 1 species
AAGUCGUAACAAGGUUUCCGUAGGUGAACCUGCGGAAGGAUCAUUAACGAGUUAGGGUCUUCUAGGCCCGACCUCCCAACCCUUUGCUUACUUGACCAUUGUUGCUUCGGCGAGCCCGUCUUGACUGACCGCCGGGGGACCGUAAGACGUCCUCUGGUCCGUGCUCGUCGGUGGCCAACUCUUAUAAAUUCUUAACUAAACGUGUCAUUAUCUAAGUACUAUUGUUAAUAAAAGCAAAACUUUCAACAACGGAUCUCUUGGUUCUG